GGAAGGAGACGUGAGCUUGAAGUUGUUUAUUGCUCUGUGUGCAUCAGCAAGUAACAACCACACGUCACUCGCUGACGCCGUCAACACCCAGAGCUUUUCUCCAAACGGGAAAUCUGGUCCUGUUUUAAUCUCGCAAGAUCUCAUCUGACAACAUCUUGGAACAGCCCUAAAAUUUAGCAUGCCAACAUAUAACAAAUGUAUCCUUUCUCUUCCCAGUGGUUACUGACCAUGGUUUAGUAAAAUAAUCUUUGAUAAGUUUCAAUGGUGCAAAAAUAUAUUGAAAUAAUGAUAGAAAUAAUGUUUCUUCUGCAUGAAAAAAUUGGCCUGUAAGAAAAAAAUAGCUCUCUUUUCAAGUCUUACUGGACAAAUAAAUAAAAAAUAUGAAAUACCAACAUCAGGACAUUUUCAUCACUUUCUACAGGACGGUCAGGACAGAACAUGAAAACAGGAUAUGUCAUGGGAAAACAAGACGUUUGCUCACUCUAGUCUCCAUACCAUACUCGCAAAAAGUUAGGUUGGUUUUCGGAUGAAAUUUCAGAAUGAAAUGCACUAUAAUGCAGUAUAACCCUUGCAGGUGACAUACAUUUUUUAAUGCAUACGUCCAACUGUUCAGUGUUUCAAUACUUUUUGCACAAUUUGUGCAAAGAGUAAAAUUCGCAAAAGGUGAAACUCUUCCAGUCUCUCUGUAUCUACGCUGCAACCUGCUGACGACACUGUUUGACAUACUAAGCUCAGCGGCCACUUCCCUCCAAGAACGUCCUGUUUGAAGCCUCGCAAUGGCGAGGCACUGUUGAUGAAUUGUUAGGUGUCGCCUUGGUCUCAUGAUGUCAAAAUGUGAGCAGCAUGAUGACUGUAUAAAUACCAAUUCUAAUUCAACCAGGAAGUGUAUUGGUUGAUCCAUGGCUCACACACUUGUGUGACUUUGAAUGAAUGAAUAAAAGGAUACACGCAAAAAAAAACCCAAAACAACAACAACACACUGGCUAGAGUAUUUUCAAAUCCAACAUUUACAACAGUGUCUGGUGUCUGCACUCUGUAAGAGCCUCAUCUGUCAUCCGUGUAAUUAAAAGCCAUUUCACACCUGUUGUGGUCACAGCAGCUUCUUAAUGAAUAGUAGGAAGGAAAAUAACUAGAUUAGGACCAUACGUCUGAAAUGAAAUUAAACCAUCAGUUUUUCUAACUGACCACAUGGAAUUACGUCCAACAUCACUGAGCAGAAGUACUUUCUCAUAUGAACAACUGGAGGAGCAUGAUUGGGUUAUGUGUGUGUG